AUUGAACGCUGGCGGCAGGCCUAACACAUGCAAGUCGAACGAGUGGCGGACGGGUGCGUAAUGUCUGUGAACCUGCUUGAAGGCUGGGGAUAACUAGUGGAAACGGUAGCUAAUACCGCGUACCAUUGGCUGUGCCCCGAUUGGAUUCGCUAGUAGGUGGGGUAAAGGCUAACCUAGGCGACGAUCCCUAGCUGGUCUUAGAGGAGGACCAGCCACACUGGAAUGUAGACACGGUCCAGACUCCUACGGGAGGCAGCAGUGGGGAAUAUUGCACAAUGGGCGCAAGCCUGAUGCAGCCAUGCCGCGUGUAUGAAGAAGGCCUGCGGGUUGUAAAGUACUUUCAGCGGGGAGGCGUUACCCGCAGAAGAAGCACCGGCUAACUCCGUGCCAGCCGCCGCGGUAAUUC
rnacentral:rRNA from 1 species